rnacentral:rRNA from 1 species
GUCGACGGUACAGGGUGCUUGCACCGCUGACGAGUGGCGAACGGGUGAGUAAUGCAUCGGAAUGUACCGUGUAAUGGGGGAUAGCUCGGCGAAAGCCGGAUUAAUACCGCAUACGCCCUGAGGGGGAAAGUGGGGGACCGUAAGGCCUCACGUUAUACGAGCAGCCGAUGUCUGAUUAGCUAGUUGGUGAGGUAAAGGCUCACCAAGGCGUCGAUCAGUAGCGGGUCUGAGAGGAUGAUCCGCCACACUGGGACUGAGACACGGCCCAGACUCCUACGGGAGGCAGCAGUGGGGAAUUUUGGACAAUGGGCGCAAGCCUGAUCCAGCCAUGCCGCGUGUCUGAAGAAGGCCUUCGGGUUGUAAAGGACUUUUGUCCGGGAGCAAAUCCUAGUGGUUAAUAACCGCUGGGUCUGAGAGUACCGGAAGAAUAAGCACCGGCUAACUACGUGCCAGCAGCCGCGGUAAUACGUAGGGUGC